AUGCAAACAGUGCAAUUGGAGGCGCUGCGAGCAGCACAGCAGGUAGAUGACUGCAGCAGCAGAGCACCCCGCUACAAGCCGCGCAUCGAUAUGGGUGGAGAAAUGCAAGCACCAGAAUGGCAAACCGAAAGCUCAGUAGUAAGGGCUACAGCGAAACAAGCUGAUGCCAAAGGAAAAGGGAUAGCAGAAGAAAGUUCAGAUCCAUCAAACAGCGAUAGCGAUGAUGAAACGAUGGACCCUAGUGUUCGGCUUGGCAUUAAUUUGAUGAGGGCUGACAGGAGAGGGGGACCCAACCUAGCACAGAACGCGCCCACCGGCAUUACGAUUGGAGAUGAUCUAAGCCGAGCACGCAUUACAGGACCACGUAGCAUCAACCGACACAGGCAACGCCUACAGCCUAGGAUCAGCGAUGGUGGUGAAACUGUGUCAAACAUGGCCCGAUUCUCUACUCAGACGUCAUGCAGAGCUGCAAUGCUUCGUAGCAGGGGGGACUACCUCAGAGCCGAGCUACAAGAACUCGAGGAUAAAGCUAAAGCAGACCUUGAAUACGGGGCAAUUCAUGGAAUUCUACCAUCUCAUAGAGGAUCAUCGUCUGCCGCAUUUGACAUGAAUGCUAAGGGAGAGUCUGAACGAGAAAGGAGGGAGCGCGUGCGGAGCUUAUCUGCCGCUGCACUAGCUGUGGUAGAACAAGCAAUUGGCAAUCCAGAACUUUUUGAAGGCAUCUUUGAGCAGGCUCGGGUGAUGCUAUCAGACCUAGGAGUGGAAGGGUACAACGAAGAUCAUGGAACGGGAGUUGACGCAAAUGGGAACAACACGCCACAGAGAGAUGAUGAUGAUCGCAUAAACUGGGAAGAGCUGGAACAUAGCAGCCAGGAACACCGUCAGCAAAUCAGUAGCCAGGGUGUGGGGGCAUUGAUUGUCACUGACAGCAACCUGGGAGCACUUGUGAAAGCAAGUGAGUAG
rnacentral:rRNA from 1 species